rnacentral:rRNA from 1 species
AAAAGCAUAAAGGUUUGGUCCUAGCCUUAUUAUCAAUUAUCUCCCAACUUACACAUGCAAGUCUCAGCACCCCCGUGAGGAAGCCCUUAAACCCUUCUCCAGGGUAAGGAGCCGGUAUCAGGCACUACUUUUGCCCAUAACACCUAGUUUCCACCACACCCCCAAGGGUCAUCAGCAGUGAUAAACAUUAUCUAUAAGCGAUAGCUUGACUUAGUUAGAGAGAAGAUAGUUGGCUAAUUCGGUGCCAGCCGCCGCGGUUAGACCCCUGAACUAAAAUUGAUAAUCAUCGGCGUUAAGCGUGAUUAAAGCAAUAUAAAAUUAGAGUAAAACUCCCUGCCCAGCCGUGAAAAGCAUGCACUCCGGAACUCCAUGAACGAAAGUCACUCUACUCAAUGCUUGAAUACACGACAGCUAAGAAU